UACCCGUAUCAUUCAUUAAUUCAUUAGCUCUAAGACCAAGUUGAAUUGAUUUAAUCACAGGAACACGUGACCAUGAUUCACCAGAUGAUAAAUCCAAAUGGGAAUGCGUGAGGAAAGGGGUUUGCUGCAUUUGCUGCGAAAGCAAUAUUGAUUCUCUCUUGUACAGAUGUGGGCACAUGUGCACAUGUUCUAACUGUGCUAAUGAUUUGCACCGAAGUGGAAGGAAGUGUCCAAUGUGUCAAGCACCAGUUGUUGAAGUAAUUCGUGCUUAUUCCAUACUAUAGUUUAGACAUUAAAAAGGGGUUACAUAUAGCCAAAUUUACAGAAUCUGCACAAGUUUUUAUUUCCUGGAGAUUUCCAGGUACCUGAAUUUUAAGUUGAUGUCCUUCUCCGUCCUUUUGCUUCUUGAUGUGAUUACCUGUAUUUAUGUCAACUUGUUAAGUGCAACAAUGGAACAGUUGAUGGCAAUUUUUUGAGGGCCA